CUGAAUCUGAAAUCACAGUUGAUAAUUUUCAUGGUCACAAAAGAAUGAAUGAAGAAAUCAAUGAAAUCCUCUUUAGUCUUGCCACUGCCUUCGUAAUUACGAAAGUUGCAGGGAGGUAGCGCCAAAACGAUGAACACGACACUGCUAAACCAAGGCCAAUACCUGUCCCACACUAUAACGGGCGUUUCAGAUCACACUUCUAAAACCACCAUUCCAUUAAAACAAAAACAAAAAACAAAAAACAAAAGAAAAAAGAGUACCUCUCUCUCAUUCAAAAAA